rnacentral:rRNA from 1 species
UAAUACGGAGGGUGCAAGCGUUGUCCGGAUUUAUUGGGUUUAAAGGGUGCGUAGGCGGCUAUUUAAGUCAGUGGUGAAAUCCUGCAGCUUAACUGUAGAAUUGCCAUUGAUACUGGAUAGCUUGAGUACAGACGAGGUAGGCGGAAUUUAUGGUGUAGCGGUGAAAUGCAUAGAUACCAUAAAGAACACCUAUUGCGAAGGCAGCUUACUAGGCUGUAACUGACGCUGAGGCACGAAAGUGUGGGGAUCAAACAGGAUUAGAUACCCUGGUAGUCCACACUGUAAACGAUGAUUACUCGAUGUUCGCGAUAUACUGUGAGCGUCCAAGCGAAAGCGUUAAGUAAUCCACCUGGGAAGUACGAUCGCAAGAUUG